UAGCCGUAAACGAUACUCGCUAGGUGUCGGCCACGGUGCGACCGUUGUCGGUGCCGUAGGGAAGCCGUGAAGCGAGCCACCUGGGAAGUACGGUCGCAAGGCUGAAACUUAAAGGAAUUGGCGGGGGAGCACUACAACGGGUGGAGCCUGCGGUUUAAUUGGACUCAACGCCGGAAAACUCACCGGGGGCGACAGCAAUAUGUAGGUCAAGCUGAAGACUUUGCCGGAUUAGCUGAGAGGAGGUGCAUGGCGUAGUCGUGU
rnacentral:rRNA from 1 species